UUUCAGUUGGUUUGAACAAGAGGAAGAUGGAACCAGAGUCAGUGUGGGCAGUGGACAUGGUUCCGCCGAGAGCCGAAGAUGGCAGUGAACGUAUAUUCAACGUCAGUCAUCAGUGAUAACCUAAGACGACAUGACAUGCUGGCCUGGAUCAAUGAGUCUCUGCAGUUGAACCUAACAAAGAUUGAACAGUUGUGCUCAUGAGCUGCCUAUUGUCAGUUUAUGGACAUGCUGUUCCCUGGCUCUAUUGCCUUGAAGAAAGUGAAAUUCCAAGCUAAGCUAGAACAUGAGUACAUGCAGAACUUCAAGAUACUUCAAGCAGGUUUUAAGAGAAUGGGUGUUGACAAAAUAAUUCCUGUGGAUAAAUUAGUAAAAGGAAAAUUUCAGGACAAUUUUCAAUUUGUUCAGUGGUUCUAAGAAGUUUUUUGAUGCAAACUAUGAUGGAAAAGACUAUGACACUGUGGCUGCCGGACAAGGUCAAGAAACUGCAGUGGCUCCCUCCCUUGUUGCUCCAGCACCGAAUAAACCGAAGAAACCUCUCAGCUCUAGCAGUGCAGCUCCCCAGAGGCCCAUUUCAGUAGUACAGAGGACUACUGCAGCUACUAAGGCUGGCCCUGGGGUAGUGCGAAAGAAUCCUGGUGUAGACAACGGGGAUGAUGAGGCCACUGAGUUGAUGCAGCAGGUCAGCGUAUUGAAACUUACUGUCGAAGACUUGGAGAAAGAGAGAGAAUUCUACUUUGGAAAGCUAAGGAACAUUGAAUUGAUUUGCCAGGAGAACAAGGGGGAAAACGACCCUUUAUUGCAGAGGACUGUAGACAUUCUCUAUGCCACAGACAAAGGCUUUGUGAUACCUGAUGAAGGGGGCCCACAGGAAGAGCAGGAAGAGUAUUAACAGCCCAGACCAGAAGAGGAACAUCUGAAUUCUUCACUCCAAAUCAUGUGCUUAACUGUAAAAUACUCCCUUUUAUUCUUAGAGGACUCACUGGUUUCUUUUCAUAAGCAAAAAGUACCUCUUCUUAAAGUGCACUUUGCAGAAGUUUCACUCCUUUUCUGAUAAGUUUGAGUUAGGAGCUUUUUACCUUGUAGCAGAGCAGUAUUAACAUCUAGUUGGCUCACCUGAGAAACAGAGAGGCUCACCGUGGGGCUUACCGUUGUGGAUGCAGGAGAAGGCGUUAUGAAAACGCUGAGGUGGUAACCUCAGGAGAGAAGUGUAAAGACUGAAUUGAAUUUUAAGCUAG